CCUUAAUAUACAUGACACUAAUUAGAGUGGCUCUCCGAGUAUUGCUGUAAUUAAAACGCCCCCACUCCACCCCGAGUAUGUGUAUAGUCACCCAUAGUGCUGAGUUAAGAUAUUCACUGGAUGUCUGGAUCCCUGAAAAUGAUUAGCUUUUUUGAGUUGAGAAAUGCCUUGAGACUUUAAAAAGGUGAAGUCAUGCUGUGAGUAAUGUACUGAAGAAUGAUUGUCGAAAGACUGAAUCACCAGUCUCCUUCAACUAAUUGUUGCUGCUGAAACUCUCAGCCCUGUUCACCAUUCUCCUAAAUUUGCUUUGGGCAAUCAAGAACUUUCUCAUCUGUUCCCGCUGCUGCUCCAUUCCUUUGGGGGGACAGAUUCAAACCAGGAUCAGCUAAGCCAUAGUACACACCCCAUUGCUGAUUUACUCGGUUUUUGCUUUCGGAUCUGGAUUAAGCUCACCAGUCUGAAGGAAGGGAACAACAUUUAAUGAGGAGGCCAGUAAUAUGAAGGAACUGUGGCCCUGUUUCCUUUCUCUCUCUCUCUCUAUGGUGGAUUUCAUUCAAAAGAAAAUUGAAGCUGGCAAGAUACUGUUUUUCCCUGCAAUUAUUUAAAACCUUGCACGCAUUUGGAUACCUUGUGAUUUCGGAGAACUAUGUGAAGAUUAAGCUUUUGCUUACUGAUACAUGGCAUGUACUCUUUUCAGUCUUUUGUGUUUGAUUUUGUUUGAUUUUCCACAGCAGUGUAACAUCUUUGUAAGGAUUUUUAUGCUUUCACCAGCAAUGUCUUAAAUACAUUAAGACAACACAUUUGGUGUUCACACUACUUCAGUAAUGUCUGUACAUAAAAAAAAUAGUGGCAUAAAAGAAUGUGUGUUUUCUUUGAGAGUUGUGCAUAUUUUGCAACCUACAGGAAGACUAUUUCUAGCUAGUGCAAGCCCAAUGUGAUGGAUUGAUUGACAAUUACAGUACCAUGCCACUAUGCCUAAAAUGUCCCAUCCAUUACCCCCCCCCCCCAGAGCAUUCAGAUCCAUUUUUUAAACAUGGCAAUAAUUGCAUGUUUAUUUAGAAACUCAGAAUUUAGUUACUCUGCUUAGACUGUGUAGCAUGUCAGUUUUCAAAAUAGGCCUGCAUUGAAAACAAACAUGCAUACACACACAAAAAUUACAAGACACUGUAUCCUGACAGAUACAGUGACACAUUUCUUAUCCUUUUAGUUCCAUUAAGAAUACAGAGUAUUCAUUAAUGUUUUGGGGCCUUGACUACAUCUUUUACUUUUUCCAAACUAUUUUCCUUCUGGAAUAUUUUCUGAAAUAGAUGACAAGGAGAGGAUGAAAGAGAACUGAACUGGCUUUAGGGCAACUUAGAACAACUGCUUGGAUGUAGAAACAGUAUGUGCUGAAUGAGCCAUUACAACUAGCUUUGUUUUCUGCUUCUUAAAAAGCACACUGAAAAGUCAUCCGAAUCCAAGACAUUUGCUGUUUUCCAUCAGUGUACCUUUCCUUAGACAUUCUGCGCUAGAAAACGCUUAAUUGCUUUUUUCUUAAUAAAACAUUUAAAUGCACACUUUGCA
rnacentral:lncRNA from 1 species